CUUUUGACAAAACUUCGAAGUAAAUAGUAUUCGUUAAAAAUGAAGAACAGUUAGUGAAGUAGAAGUAAAAGUGACUGACAUUCGUGAAAACCGUCGGGCACUAAGAAUGCAUAAGAUGACAGUUCCUGGUCGGUUCCUAGCUUUUUAUGAGAACGCGGCUUUUGAAAAUCAUAAUCUUUGGCUUCGUUGGAAAUUCUUUUGAUAUUUCUUUUCAAACUUUUUUUUUCGCGACUUGUUUACCGCUUCAUUUUGAUUGUGAUUUUUUUAUACUUGCGUAUCAACAUUUUCUUAAACCCAAAUUUUAAAAAUAGAAAUGUGCUAGCUUCCUUUGCAAAA